UACAGGGGGGGCAAGCGUUGUUCGGAAUUACUGGGCGUAAAGGGCGCGUAGGCGGCUUGAUGUGUCAAAGGUGAAAUCCCUCGGCUCAACUGAGGAACUGCCUUUGAAACUGUCUGGCUUGAGGCCGGGAGAGGGUAGCGGAAUUCCCAGUGUAGCGGUGAAAUGCGUAGAUACUGGGAGGAACACCGGUGGCGAAGGCGGCUACCUGGACCGGUUCUGACGCUGAUGCGCGAAAGCGUGGGUAGCAAACAGG
rnacentral:rRNA from 1 species